AUUGAACGCUGGCGGCAGGCCUAACACAUGCAAGUCGAGCGAGUGGCGGACGGGUGAGUAAUGUAUGGGGACUGCCCGAUAGAGGGGGAUAACGACUGGAAACGGUAGCUAAUACCGCAUACUAUCGGAUAACCCAUAUGGGAUUAGCUAGUAGGUGAGGUAAUGGCGCACCUAGGCGACGAUCCCUAGCUGGUCUGAGAGGAUGAUCAGCCACACUGAGACAGAGACACGGCCCAGACUCCUACGGAGGCAGCAGUGGGGAAUAGUGCACAAUGGGCGCAAGCCUGAUGCAGCCAUGCCGCGUGUAUGAAUAAGGCCCUACGGUUGUAACGUACUUUCAGUCGGGAGGCGUUACCGACAGAAGAAGCACCGGCUAACUCCGUGCCAGCAGCCGCGGUAAUAC
rnacentral:rRNA from 1 species